UUGCACAAUGGGCGCAAGCCUGAUGCAGCCAUGCCGCGUGUGUGAAGAAGGCCUUCGGGUUGUAAAGUACUUUCAGCGGGGAGGAAGGGAGUAAAGUUAAUACCUUUGCUCAUUGACGUUACCCGCAGAAGAAGCACCGGCUAACUCCGUGCCAGCAGCCGCGGUAAU
rnacentral:rRNA from 1 species